rnacentral:rRNA from 1 species
AAACUUUCAACAACGGAUCUCUUGGUUCUCGCAUCGAUGAAGAACGCAGCGAAAUGCGAUACGUAAUGUGAAUUGCAGAAUUCCGUGAAUCAUCGAAUCUUUGAACGCACAUUGCGCCCCUUGGCAUUCCAGGGGGCAUGCCUGUUUGAGCGUCAUUU